AAGUCGUAACAAGGUUUCCGUAGGUGAACCUGCGGAAGGAUCCUUGCACAAUCAAUGACACUUUCCGACACUGACUGCUUGGGGAAACAUUGCCUAUAGAACUACCGCUCGAUUGUAACUGUUCCAAUGUUGUAAUACAUUGGGUAAAAAAACAGAACAACUGUUAACAAUGGAUAUCUUGGUUCUC
rnacentral:misc_RNA from 1 species